rnacentral:rRNA from 1 species
GACGGAGGAUGCAAGUGUUAUCCGGAAUCACUGGGCGUAAAGCGUCUGUAGGUGGUUUAAUAAGUCAACUGUUAAAUCUUGAGGCUCAACCUCAAAAUCGCAGUCGAAACUAUUAGGCUAGAGUAUAGUAGGGGUAAAGGGAAUUUCCAGUGGAGCGGUGAAAUGCGUAGAGAUUGGAAAGAACACCGAUGGCGAAGGCGGGUCUCUGGGCCGGAACUGACGCUAAGGAGCGAAAGCGUGGGGAGCGAACAGG